GAUUUCAGGACCCUAAAAAAUACUCUAAAAGUUUCAGCAAUGCUGUUUUCUUAGCAUUUGGAUCUAAAAUUCUGAUCUCAAAAAGAAAGAAUUUAGAACAAGUUUUCUCUUUGGACGUUUUGGUUUUCAAAAAGUUCAAGCAUGGUUUAAGUUUAGAGUGGCCUUCCUGCUGUGUUUCUGUUGUUGAUUGCACCUGUUGUUUCCUGUUCUCUGUCCAUUUCAGCUUACUAUUUCAUUUUUUUUCCUUUGUAUCCAGGUAAAUCUUAAGCCUUUGAAUGCUGAAUGAAAUAUAAGCAUGUGUUGAAAGAUGUGUUGCUGCUGUUGGAUUUUAAUUUAGCUUCUUUUGAUGUCUUCUUCAAGUCAUAUUUGCUUUUGUUCUUUAGUUUCAUCCCUUCUAGCUUCUACCUCAAUACAUUAAAGCUGCUGUAUUGUUCCUUGAAUUAGCUAGGAUAUUUAGUAUUGAAGGUGUUGAAUAGCUUCUCUUUCAUGUGUUUGAAUUUCAAUUUAGAUAGUUUAGCUUAAAAAAUAUUAAAUUUCAACCUUCUCCUGCAUGUGCUUUUCUUAGGUUAUUUAGCUAUUCAGCUCUUUCAGCUUUUGUACAAAGUGUUUUGGAUCUAUUUUGAUGAUCAGUAGUUUAGUGGUGAAUUUGACAUGUAAAUGUUCAAAUUAAAUAAUAUUUAAAUCGACUCUUCAUGUACUGAUUCAGGACUUCAUGUUUAGUGCGGCUCCAAUAGUUUAGUUGGCUAUAUCUUAAAUGUUGACUAGUGUAUUAUGCAUGUUAAAAAUGCAGUGUUUGGCUGUUAAGUACAUUCAGUUUUAAUUAUUACUAAUUCCAGCAUUUUAAAGUGACUGUUUAUCUCGGUUUAAAAAUAAUUUAUGAAUAGUUUAAGAUUCAAUCUUGUUUUUGUUAUUACUAAAUACAUGAUAAUGAGUUAAGGCCCAACAUGUUAGGCAUUUCGUUUAGGAUUUGUGCAAAUAUUGGUAUACAUGAACUGGCAUGAUUUAAGCCUUAGCAGGCUUUGGCGUUUGAAGUUUUUUUUUUUGUGAUUGGGCCUGGCGAUGCCCCAAACAAGGCUGUCAAGCCAAAAGGAGGCUUCCUUUGUUUCUAUCCUUCUCUGUCUUCACGUUUGGGCUCAGUUUUGAGCCCAGUUGGCAUCAACUUUUAUUUUUCUUUUAUUAACUGCUCUUAAUAAUAUAAUGGGCCUGCUAUCGGCUCAGUUCCUUUCAAAUAACUAAAGACCUCUUUUAUAUUGCCAUACCUAUAAUUAAUAGCCUUAUAUUGAAUUGCAAGAUAGUUUUAAAUAUGAACCCCAUAGUUUUCUUUAAGUGAAAUACAAGUUUUUUAAAAUAAAUCGAGGUGUGUCAUUCAUAAUUGAAUCACCUAAUCUAUGACCCUCACAUUAAUAUUAUAACUUAGGUAUUAAACAUUCUUUAACAUUCGUAGCUUGCUUUAGGCGAGAUUUAGUCUAUUAUUGUGAUUAUGUAUACGUUCGCGUAACAUAGUUAUGAUUUUUUCUAAAAGUAAAUCGAGGUAUGCGUUCGCGAAACUUCGUCCAAACUUUCGUAAUAUUAAUAAAGCGUUAUUAAUAGUGGGCACGUACGCGUGACAUGAUUCUUGACGCGCCAAACAGAAUGAGUAUACGUACGCGUGACUCAUUUCUGGUUAUUUUCUUAAUUAAAAGCGGUAAAAAGUAAUAUACACAUAGGUUCUAAAAAUACGUAAUUAAACAAAUUUAAGCCACGUAUAAAUUUCUAAGCGACCUGCUAGAACCACGGAACCCGAGAAUGCCUGACACGUUCUCCCGGGUCAACAGAAUUCCUUAUCUAGAAUUUCUGGUUCGCAGACUUUUAAAUAAAGUCGAAAAUUUCCUCGAUUUGGGAUUUAAAAAUAAAUCGGUGACUUGGGACACCAAAUAUAAAUUAUUCCAAGUGGCGACUCUAAAAUUAAAUAAAUAAUCCCAUUUCGAUUAAUGUCACUUUAAUUGAAAAAACUCCCUUAUAUUACCCUCGGGUGGUAAAAAGGAGGUGUGACAGACACAGCAUCACAAACCUCAAGGGAAGGUGGACAAACAGACAUAGAUUCAAGGCCUGAUGUCAUCCAAGAGCCAGAAGAAAAUGAAAAUAUCAAAACAACAAUAGAAGAACUCGAGGGUAUCACACUUUCUGAGUAGUGGCCAGAUAGAAAAGUUUAUACCGAAAUGAAGCUAAGCCCAGAAAUGAAAGGUAAACUUGUCAAAUUUUUACAAGCUAACACAUAUUGCUUUGCUUGGUCGCAUUUAGAGGUAUCUCACCGGAGGUGAUGACCCACAAGCCAAAUGAAGAUCCAUCUUAUCCACCUGUCAAACAGAAGAAAAGAAAGCAAGGAUCCUUAAAAAAUCAGGUGAUCCAGGAUAAAGGACAAAAACUUUUAAAAAUUGGGUCCAUAUGAGCGGUAAAAUAUCCUAAAUGGCUAGAUAAUAUUGUAGUAGUACCAAAAAAGAAUGAAAAAUGGCAAGUUUGUGUAGAUUAUAUUGACUUAAAUAAAGCUUGUCCUAAAGACUCAUUUCCUUUACUGCAUAGACACAAAUCUUCCAACUCUUGGAGUGUACCCCCUUUUUAGCCAUUUUCAAAAGGGCACACUCUCUCCUGGUAGGGCUUUUUAGUGAAGGAAAAUUGAUUGUAUUUCUACUCUUGUCCUUUGAGAAGCCAUUGUUCAUGUGUCAUUAUUGGUUGCUCCCCUUCACUACUCUCUGCACACUAAAAUCAAGGAUUAGAUUUAGGAACCCAAACGAGUUUGGGUCCCUUUUUAAGAGAAAAGGGAUGAAUGAGUGCUCUCUUAGUCCAAGCAAGCGAAAUGCAUUUUCUAUUUGAGGGUUUCCUAUUUAAAGGACCAGGUCCUCUUGCAGUAGUUGCUCUCUCAGCAAAGACUUUAUUUUUAUGAUGAGACUGAACCUUGGCCAAGAAAUUUUCCUUGAGGUGUUGCUGUAGCCAAAAGACACAAGAGUAAUUAUGUUGCUGUGAUUGAGCUUGUGUAGAGUGGAGAUAUAAGUUGGUUGAAAGCUAUUGAAGACAAUGCUGAACUAUGAGACAAAAGACUGGAGCAUUGUAAGUUGUCUGUCUCUAAACAAACUGGAUUUGAAGAACCUGGUUCGUGGUCUGAUCAAGUUGAGCAACAAGUAACAUGAAGUGUGAAAUGCCUGUGCAAAAGGAAAGCAUGUCAUAUGUUCAUUCAAGCCCAAAAGGGGGAGAUAGCACUUCAGAACCAAGGAUGAGAUCUUUCGAGAAACUGUGGCUUUUUUCAAGAAGAUCCAGGUACAGAUAGAAACAAAUGCGGCUUGCAUUGGAUCAAAUCAUGGAACAAGUUUGGAUAAUGCCAUAAGUGGAUGAAUUCUAUAUUCAAAGAAGAAUUACUCAACCACUUAGCUCAAAAAACACCACAUCAGAUGGAGUUGUUGAAAAGAAGAAAAUGACUCUUGAAAAUUGGGCACGGUCAAUAUUAAUUGACAAGGGUUUCCUACACAAUGCUUCUAACUAAGCUAAGUAGGAGUUAAAAGUGAAGAACAAAAUCAUAAAGACUCAGCAAUCCUAAGGACUUAAGAUAACUUCAAUCUUUGGAUCUGAUCCUUGAGGUUGCAGUAGCUUUGUUCUUGAGAGAUAUGGUGGCUAGCACUUGAGAGAGAAUUUUCUUUUCAUUUGCAAGUGUUCAAGUAAUUGUUUUACCUUCCUUGAUGUUAAUAAUAAAUGUGUGACAUCACUUAUAAUGAUGUAAGCAAGGUAGGUAAAAAGAUUUCCACAGAAAUUUGACUGCUGCACUGUUCCUAUACUGUAGCGUGUGCAGCCAGCAACUUUCCAACUGGAGAGUUGACUUCGUACAAUCACCUCAGGAACUGGUAGGAACCUGUUCCCUUAGCUGUUCCUUCGACUCUGAAGAGUUGAGCCAUAUCCCAAACGGGAUCCCAACCUUAAACCUUGUGAUCUUAAGGUCUUGAGAAUGUUUAAAGCUGUAGAGUUGAAUAUUUGAUAACUAGGGGAACUGAUCCAUAUCUGUUCCCUUAUCUGAUUUCUUUGAGAAUUAAACCAGACAUCUAACUGGUUACUUUAAACUCAAGAGAACUAAUUUUAUCAAGUUCCUUAUCUGGUUCUCUCAUGAAGUUUGUCAAAUCAUCAAAACAAAAGACGCAUAACUUAUCAUAGAUCAACUCAUUGAUUCUAUUGCAAGACAUGAAUUGUUGAGUUCUUUAGAUGCCUAUUUAGGAUAUAAUUAGAUAAAGAUGGAUACUUUAGAAGAGGAAAAAAUAUCCUUUAUCAUAGAUAGGGGGCUUACUGUUAUAAAGUCAUGCCUUUCAAAUUAAAGAAUGUUGGAGCCACGUACCAAAGAUUGGUAAUAAAAAUGUUCCAAGAACACCUGGGAAAAACUAUGGAAGUCUACAUUGAUGACAUGAUGGUCAAGUCAGCACAGGCGGGGGAUCAUAUCCAAUAUUUGUCAAAUACUUUUCAGAUUCUCCGCACGUUCAAUAUGAAGUUAAAUCCCAAAAAAUGUGCCUUUGGCUUGGCUUAAGGUAAGUUUUUAGGUUUACUUGUUUCCAGCUGAGGUAUUGAAGUAAACCCUUCAUAGAUCAAAUCCAUUGAAGAAAUACUAGACAUACUCACGAGCAAAAAAAAGGAGCGAGGCUGAUAGGUAGGAUAACAACUUUGGGAAGGUUUAUUUCUAUGUAUUCGGAGAAAAGUUUUAAGUUCUUUUUAGUGUUGAAAAAGCAAAAACAAUUCGAGUGGACUGAUGAAUGUCAACAAGCACUCAAAUACUUGUCAAACCCACUGUUACUGGCUAAACCAAAGGAUGGAGAAAGGCUACUCAUCUAUCUCGUUGUAUCAUAAAUGGUGGUAAGUGCAGUAUUAGUACGUGAAGACAAAGGUAAACAAACUCCAAUCUAUUAUGUUAGAAAAUCUUUAUUGGAUGCUGAAACUCAAUAUCCGCACUUAUAAAAACUUUCUUUAGCAAUAAUUAUGGCAUCUAGAAAGUUGAGGCCUCAUUUUCAAUGUCACCCUAUCUCUGUAGUAACUACUUACCCCUUAAGAAAUAUAUUGCAUAGGCAAGAACUGCCAGGUAGGUUAGCCAAAUGGUCUAUAGAACUCAGUGAAUAUGAUGUCGUGUACCAACCUAGAACUGCGAUAAAAUCACAGGUUUUAGUAGAUUUUGUGGCAGACUUCAGCCUAGGGAUAGUUCCUGAAGCAGAAAAGGAACUACAAGUAUUCAUCGCAUCUAAUCCGGGUACUUGGACCCUAUUUACUGAUGGCGCCUCGAAUGUUAAAGGAGCGGGUUUAGGCAUUAUUCUAAACCCACCUUCAGGAGAAACCAUAAUGCAAGCAAUAAAGUAGCAUCCCAUUACUAACAAUGAAGUAGAAUAUAAAAUUGUAAUUGCAGGUCUGGAAUUGGUACGAGAGCUCAGAAUAGAGCAGAUUAUAAUCAAAAGUGACUCGCAGCUUGUAGUUAAUCAGAUGAAGGGGACUUAUAUAGCUAGAGAGGCACGGAUACAACAAUACUUGGAAAAAACACGAGAAUUAAUCAAACAAUUCCAAUUAUGGAAAAUCGUGCAAAUACCCAAGGAGGAAAAUGCGGAAGCAGACGUGUUGGUUAAUCUCGCAUCUGUUGCAGAAGUAACGAAUGAAGAAAAUGCUAGAAUAAUAUAUUUGUUUCAUUCGGCACUCGAUCAGGAUAAAUAUGAGGGAAAUUUCAAUAAUUUAACUUGAGAUUGGAGAAAGGAGUUCGUUAAUUUCCUACAGUACGUGAUUUUACCUGAAAACAAGAAAAAGGCUCAAUCACUUCGACAAAAAGUUGCCCGUUAUUGUUUGGUUCGUGGAAAUUUGUAUCGAAAGAUGUUUAGAGGGCAUUUAGCAAGAUGUCUCAGACCUUCUCAAAUAGAAUAUGUGAUGAUAGAAGUACAUGAGGGACACUGUGGAAAUCAUGCAGGAGGAAGAUCAUUGGUAAGAACUUUAAUUAGAGCAGGAUAUUAUUGGCCAAAAAUGGAAGAAGAUGCAGAAUGUUUUAUGGCCAAAUGUGACAAAUGCCAAUGAUAUGGCAACAACAUGCAUUGCCCAGCGGAGCUAUUGCAUCCGGUUAUUUCACUAUGGCCUUUUAUGAAAUGGGGGAUAGAUAUCGUGGGUCUACUACCACAAGCCAAAGGAAAAGUAUGAUUUUUAUUAGUAUUAACAGAUUAUUUUACCAAGUGGGUAGAAAUAGGUGCCUUCAAACAGGUGCGGGAAAAAGAAACUAGGGACUUUAUUUGGCGAAACACCUAUGGCCCACCUAUGGCCUGCAAUUCAUAGGUGCGAAAAUCACAUAAUUCUUUAAGAGUUGGCAGAUUAAAAGGAUAACUUCAACACCUUACCAUCCUAUGGCUAAUGGAAAAUCCGAAUCGACAAACAAAAUUAAUAUUAAUAACUUCAAGAAAAUAUUAGAGGAGUCAAAAGGUCAGUGGCCAGAAGUGUUACCAGGAGUCCUAUGGGCUUACCGAACGACAACAAAAACAGGUACGUGAGAGACUCCAUUUUGACUUGUGUAUGGUGAUGAAGCCUUAAUCCCAAUUGAAAUAGGCAAACCAAGUACAAGAUAUACCCAAGCAACUGAAGAAUCAAAUGAGGAAGAGAUGCGAAUAAAUCUAGAUUUGCUUGUAGAAAGAAGAGAAGCGGCUCUAAAAAGGAUGGCAGCACAGAAACAAAUUAUUGAGCGAUACUACAAUCGAAAAACUCAUCUUAGAUACUUCAAGAUUGGGGACUUCGUGCUCAAAAAGGUUUUUCAAUCGACAAAAGCAGCCAAUGUAGGAAAGUUUAGUCCAAAUUGGGAAGGACCCUAUAUGAUUCGAGGCAUUGUUGGAAAGGGUGCUUAUGAGUCGGAAACCAUGGAGGGAAAAGUACUACCUUCGAAUUGGAAUGAUAUUCAUUUGAAGAAAUAUUAGGAAAUACCCACGAUCAGGUAUCGCUUAAUUAUGAUUUUAUUUUGUUCUGUUAAAUUAUACUAAUAAUUUUAGAUGAUAGGCAAAAAUCUAGCCCACACCAAAUGAUGAUAUUAGACCUGAAAGAUAUGCGGUAUACAAAAUUAUUCUCGGUUCUAGUUACAACCUUUUUGAUGGAGAUAAAAAGGGUUAAGCAAUCAUCAUCUAAAAAUAUACCUCCGAGUCCCAUAUGUAUUUUCUUUUUCAGGAAAUGGACCAAAUAGAAGGAAUAAUCAAGUGCUCGAGAUCAUACUUCAAAGCUCUAACACUUGGGGGACUAUAGAUAUGAAGGCAAAGAAGACUGAAAGUCAGAGAAGACUAAAAGUCAGAAUUCAAGCGUGGAUCAACCCAAAAAUCAAAAGUCAAGAGCCAAAAAACAAGCCUGAUUCAAAAACCUUUGUAAUAAGGUUUGAUAAAGUAUAAACUCGUCGACAUAAAUUACAAGAUCCUGCGAGUACUUAGGUUAAGGGUAAUGAUUAGUCAUGGGUUGCAAGAUACACCCUAGAAAAUUUUGAAAUUUUUUAAGAAAAAUAGUUAUGAAAGAGUUGUAGAUGUCAUACAAAAAGUUGAUUGAAUACUUGUAAAGUGUUAUGUAAUUUAAAAGUUCAAAACAUGAAACUUCCUCAAAUUAUUCAUGAAACUUCUUCAAAAUAUGUAUUUUCCUACUUCUCUCAUAUACUUAUAUCAUUAUGAAGUUGAGACUCUUCUUCACUAGUAUCGUUUAUAAAAGGGCCCUAUUUUAUAAAAUUUGUGUCUAUGCCAAAAUCACGAAAUAUUAAAACAUUUUUAAAUGCAAGUCAAAAGAGUAAAACAAAAACUUAAAUUAAACAAAAGAUCAUAUAUUAAACUUGGAUAAAACUAAGUAUAUACUUAGUUAAAACCAAAAUAUUUGUUUGAUAAACAAACCCCAAAAUGAACCUGUGGUAAAAACUAACCAACCAUUCUAUAAAGUAAAAAAAAACUUCCCAUCAAAAGUUCAAUAACAAACUAAGUUCUGAAAUAACACUAAGGGGAAGAAUCCAAUAUGGCAUCAUCAACAACGGGAGAAAAUUCAACUUGAGUAGAAGAAGCUUGAAUACCAGCUUCACCAGGAACAAGUUCAUCACCUUCGGGAAUUCCAUCUUCAGGUGAAGGAAAGUCUUGACUUUGCUAAGUUUUUUCGAUUGCCUCUUUAGCUUUAGCAAUUUCAGCACUGAAAUCAAAACCCUCCUGGAUGGCUUCCAUUAAGGUCUCGAGGUGAGUAUUCAGAAAAUCUCUACUUACGUCAAGUGACAUCUUAUCCUCGAGAGCCUCAUAAUCUCUCUCCCACUGAUCGAUUUCAGUCAUCGACUCCACCUUUUUUAUUUUAGAAGCGUCAAAAGUUGCCUUCAAAUGAGUUAGAGAAAUUUCUAAGAACUUAACCUUAUCAGCAGAGGCACGAAGGUCUUUUUGAGUUUGAGUUAAAGUUUGAAUUAACUCUCCUGAAUAAGCCUCUUUUUGGUUAAGGAGUUCCCUCAAACCCCUUAUCUCAUCAGUUUCCUUUGAAAGCUGCUCAUCAAAAGAAGACUCAAGGAUAUCCUUAUCUUUACCAACUUGGCUUGAAGAAUAUUUUUCAAUUGCCAAUUGAGCAGCGAUCACAUGCAUUUGUUGCUCUAAGGCAUCCUUCUCCUCUGUCAAUACUUCCUUCUACAGUUGAAGACCUUCAAACUACUCUUUCCAAUUGUCAGCUUUGGUACGAUAAUCAACAAUUUGUUGGUCAGCAUGAACAAUUCUUUUCAUAAGUUUCGUGCCUAUCAAGUUGAUCUACAAAAGAAAAUAAAGAAGCGAUUUUCAAACAAAAGUAAAUAACCACGAGGAAAAGAAAGGAAAAGGCUAAAACUUGAACCUUCAAAGAUGAAUGAACAAUAUCAUUCAUCCAUGUCAAGGAGCUGUGGCUUUCCAACUUUGACUUCUCAACUGGGCCAAGUAGAGGUUUCAACCAAACGUCAGCUUGACCAAAGUUUUUCAACAGAUUACCACCUUCAGGGACUUCUAUGGUAAAAUAUUUUCAUCACCCUAUUGCUACUACAAGUAUCAACUUCAACAUGAGAAGUAGUUGAGGAAGUGAAAGUAGCCACGGGAGGAGUAGUAGCAGCAGCAACAGCAACAGAAACAGUAGAUUAAGAACAAAUUCGGACUAAUGCUGGAAGAGGAGCAAGGGGUAAUUCUUCAGAAACGGGACCAAAAUAUUCACUAUCAAAAUCACGGGAAAAUAGCUGAUCAGUAGAGUCAUGAGGGGGAGCAUUCAUCUCUUCAUCAAAAAUCACUAAAGUAGCACUUUCAGGCUCAUUCAAAGGAACUAAACUUUGAGGAUGGGUGGUUUCAUCAUCUGAAAUAAUGCGCCUCCUAGCCUAAGGCCUAUGCACUAAGGGACCUUUUUCUUGUUCCUCCUCACCUUUAGAGCUACGAGCUCCGUCUACUUUUCUCUUUCAUGAAGAGUUCAGAAUCCUUUCUUGAGAAAGACUUACUGUAAGUUUUGUAGAUGAAACAGAAGCGGUAUUAACACCACGAAUGGGAAAUCCUAACAAAAGAAAAAGUUCACGGUGAGAAACUCUUAAGUUAGCAAAAGAGAAAAAGAAGAAGACUAAGCGAGAAAAAGUACCGUGUGUUUUAACUUUCCACCAAAAUCUCUGAGAGAGAUACUUCCAAGAUCUUCUCGCCAUAGGGGCAACAGAUACCAACUUUCCUACCCUAGCACGGAAGUUGGGGAUUUCCUAAAAAACUUCCAUAGUUGCUGAAAAGGAAGGGAUGAGAAUACCUGAGAAUCAAUUUUGAGAAAGGAAAAAAAGGUGAAAUGCAAAUACUUACGUACACAAUUUCACUUUUCUGGAAAAGGCAUAUUUCUUCACCCACCAAAGCACUAGUGGGAGCAGCAAUGAAGCGAGCAUACCAGCCUUGAUCUUUAUCAUCUUUAGGGCUAACUAAUACUCUCUUACUUUUGGACACAAGGGAAAAAAAUCCUUUACGAAAUAGUUUAGGGGAGUAAAGAUGGAGUAGGUGACGAAAAUUAAAGGUCAUAGAAGCCAAGUUUGACAAAUGGCAUGCAACAGCUCUCCAAACAGUAGGACCAAUCUGCCCUAAACACACAUUGAACUAACGAUAGAACUCAAUGAUUACUGGUUCAAUAAGAGGUCUAAAUCCUAGGGUAAAAGGAUAUGUAUAAACGAAGGAAUAACCAGUUAGGUAUGAAGUUAUUCUUCGGUUGGCACCAGGAACUAAAAUUGGGAAAUCAGGUUUCCAAUUACAUUCUCUUCGAACCAGAGCAAGAAAACCAGUAGUAAUCAAAGUUGGGUAACAAUCAACACGAUCAAGGGAAGAAGCCAUGGAAGAAAAUUUACUCUUCAUAGAUUCAGUAUCAGUUACAAAGGAUAGUUCUUAAGGAACAAUUUCAUCAAUAGUGGGUUCACGUAGAGCUUCAUGUAACGACUAGACUGGUCGUUUUGAGCAAUUGCAUCUGGUUUGGUAGUUUUAGGUCACGAGCAGCUUCAUAUUAUGUAUAUAGACUUGCUUGCCUGGUUGAAUUCAGCUAUCAGAUAAUUCAGAGUCAAAAUGGGAGAAGGAAUCUAGUUUUGGAAGCUUAAGCGGCGAGAAUUUGACCAGAACUGGACUUUUGAGUAAACGGCCCCGGAAUGGGUUUUGGGUGAUCUCAACAGCUUUGUAUGGUAAUUUUGGACAUAGGAAAGCAUGCGGAUUCGGAUUUGGAGGUCCGUAGAGUAAUUUGAGGCGUUUCGGCGAAAGUUGGAAAAUUGGAAGUUUGGAAAAUGGAGAAGUUUGACUCAUAGUUAACUUUUGUGAUAUCGGAGUCGUAAUGAGAUUCUGAGAGUUGGAACAGCUUCGUUAUGUCAUUUUGGACUUGUUUGCAAAAUUUGGCGUUAUUCCGGGUUGAUUUAAUAGGUUUCGGCAUACGUUUUGGAAGUUGGAAGAUUGGAAAGUUCCUAAGUUCGAUUCAUGGUGUGAAUCGUUGUUUCAGUGUUUUUUUAUGUGAUUUGAGACCUCGAGCGAGUCCAUGUUAUGUUAUAUGACUUGUUUGUGUGUUUAGAUGGGUCUCGGGGGCUUCGGGUGUGUUUCGGGUGGGCUACGGGUCAUUUUUCCUUGUUUUUGAACUGUUGUUUUCUGCUUCUGGUAUCCUCUUUCACGAUCGCAAACCGCCUUUCGUGUUCGCGAAGCUUUGUUGCUGACUACAUGUAAAUCCUUCUUCAUAUUCACAUUUAACACCUAUUAUUUGCAAAGCUCUGCCUUCUCCUUCAUCGCGUUCGUGUUCCCCUCACGCGUUCGCGUAGUUAUGCCUUUCCACUCUUCGCGUUCGCGUACUAGUUCACGUGUUCGCAAAGAACAGUCUCUGGGCCAUAAUAUUUUUCUUCUUUGUGUUCGCAGAUGUGUUGUCGCAUUCGCGAUGAGUAACCUAGGCACCUUCCUUUUCUUUCUUCGUGAACGCGAUACUUCCUUCGCGUUCGCGAUGCUUUAAGACCUUGGCAAAAUAAAUAGUACUCUAUUCCGAGGGUUUGCUAUUUUCACCAUAUUUGGAGUUCAAGAGCUCGGUUUCGGGCGAUUCUUUGUGGGUUUUUCAAGCAAAACGAUUGAGUAAGUGUUCUUCACCUAGAAUUGAUUAUAUUCCAUGCUUUUCUCUUCCCUUUUAUCAUUUAAUUUGUGAUUUGGGUUAAGGAAAAUGUUGGUUUUUGAAGAAAAAUUCUAAAAUGAAAAAUCAUGAUUUGAGGGACCAAAUGGUAUCGGAAUUUGAUAAAUUUUGUAUGGUUGAACUCGUAUAGGAAUGGGUAUUCGAUUUUUGUUAAAUUUGUCGGGUUCUGAGGUGCGGCCCUAGGGGUCGACUUUUGGACUGAUUUUUGGAUUUUGUUAAAGAUUGAUACUUUAUGAUCCAUAAUAGUUUCUUAUGUGUUUUAUUUGUGCUUUGAAGUUAAUUUUGUUAGAUUUGAGCCAUCCGGAGGUUUUUCAAUCGAGAAGUGCAUUUUAGUAUAUCGGUUUGUCGUCUUUGAGGUAAGUAUCUUGCCUAACCUUAUGUAGGGGACUUCGCCUUAGGAUUUGAGUGUUCUAUGCUAAUUGUAAUCCGUGCAUGCGAGGUGGCGAGUGUGUGGUCGGACUUAUUUGUGGAAAAUUUGCCUCUAGGGUUCUUAGGUCCUUAUGUUCAUUAUGUGGAAAGUAUUCAGUUAUAAUUGAGUUUCCUAAUUGCUUAAAUUACCUCUAUAUGCUCCCUAUGAUGUUGUUAACUUUCCUCUAAUUCAUACGUGUUACUUGUCCCUUAAUUACCUUAAUUGAAGUGAUUGCCUUCCGUAUUGUUUUGAUACUUCUUGAUUGUGAGUUCCUCUAUGACUUCGUGCAAAAAUGUUACAUGUCCAAUUGUUAUGGUUACCUGUGUAGUUAUCACGUGCUUAUUAUGUCUUGUUGUUUUGUUGAGGUUAUUAUGCUUCUUGGUUUUUCUUUGAUCCUUAUUAUGUACUAUUCAUGCUUAAAUUAACAAUUAUUCAUAUUGAACAAGACUUAUGACAUUCUCUUGGUAAUUAUCCAUUUUUGAGUAUUGACUCGAGUUGAGAUCUAUAUUGCAAAGCUAAUUGUUGAAACGAGAUUGGUUAUUGUUGAUUCUCUUGACGGGAGGUUAUUGUUUCUAUUGUGGAUUCCUUUGGCGGGAUGUUAUUGUUUUUAUUGUUGAUUCCCCUGUCGGGAUGCUAUUGUUUCUAUUGUUGAUUCCUUUGCCGGGAUGUUAUUGUUUCUAUUGUUGAUUCCCUUGCCGGGAUGCUAUUGUUUCUAUUGUUGAUUCCCUUGCCGGGAUGUUAUUGUUCCUAUUGUUGAUUUCCUUACCGGGAUGUUAUUAUUUCUAUUGUUUGGGUAAGGAAGAGUGUAAAGCACGAAGGGUGAUGCCGUGUAUGAUAUUGUGAGGAAGAGUGUAAAGCACGAAGGGUGAUGCCGCGCAUCAUAUUGUGAGUGAGUGUUAAUGCACGAAGUGUGAUGCCGUGCCGAUAUUGUGAGUGUAAAAGCACGAAGGGUGAUGCCGUUCCACAUUAUUGAGAGUAAAAGCACGAAGGGUGAUGUCGUGCCACGAUUAUGAGAGAGUUAAAGCACGAAGGGUGAUGUCGUGCAUAUUUCUAUUUAUGCAUAUGGUGAGGAAUAGUGAUAAAGCACGAAGGAUGAUGUCGUGCACUUUCUGUUUGUUGUGUUUAUUUGUGAUUAUCAAUUUAAAUGUUUUAAUUGUUCAGAUUCCUUUACUACUGUGAUCAUUGUGGUGGAACCCCAUAGUGUUUUGAAUACUUCACCGUAUUUAUAUAUAUUUUCAAUACUUCAAAUUUCAAUAAUUGUUUCAUUUUUAAUUCAAUUAGUUACUCAAUUAAAUCCUCUUAAACCGUCUGAGGUUGUAUUUUUCUUAAAAAGGAAUUUCUACUAAGUUAAUUUCUUAAAUCCCAUGUUAAAGAUAAUAAUUAAUUCGAUGUUGUAUUUUAAUUGAAAAUGGUACUUUCUUUAUUCAAAUGAUUUCUAAAAAUCACUUCAUCUUUUCUUGCUGAGUUCCUAAUUGGAUAAGAAGUUGUACUAUACUUUAUGUUAUGUAAAUGAGACUCCUGAAACAUCUUAAUUGCAUUGGUUGUGUGUUCUAUGUACUGAGUAAUAGGAGAACGUUGUUGUGCAAACUGAGACAAAAUAUGUGGCCACAAGGUUCCGGGUGUUCUAAAGGUUUGGAAGUUGGGGUUAUGAUAUGAGGUAUCGAGUUCUGAGAUGGCUAAGGUUGUGCACCAGAAACGAUAUGAAUGAUUGAGUUGACACUGUCUUCCUUGCUUGAGUUCACUCUACUUCUCUGUGUUCCAGCUAUGUUAGCAUUGAUUUACCUGGUUAUCUUUCAUUUCCAUCCGAGUUUCCUUUUAUUAUUUUGACUAUUUGUAGAUUGAUUUAUCCCUGCUGUUGAUAUUACUUCUUUACCUUUAUCUUGAUAUUUGUUAUCAUAUCCUGUUUAAUCUGUCUGACUAGUAGGUGUCUUGACUGUUCCUCGUCACUACCCCACCGAGGAUAGUCUUGAUACUUACUGGGCACCACCGUGGUGUGCUCAUACUACACUUCUGUACAUUUUUGUGUACAGAUCCAGGUAUUCGAUCGGUAGUAGUUGUGCGGGUUGUUGCGAUGGAGACUCAAGGUAAACCUGAUGCAGCGUUCGCAGGCCUCGGAGUCACCUUCAUUUGUACUUAUUUCCAUUUGUUUCUUUUGUUUCGGAACAAUGAUGUAUUUAUUUUGUAUAACUACCCUUAGAAAAGCUUAUGACUUGUACCACCGAUUUUGGGAGUUGUAAUUUGUUAGGAGUUAUUUAAAUU
rnacentral:lncRNA from 1 species